ensembl:lncRNA
AGCAGCAGAGGUGAUUAAAAUACUCUGCCCUUUAUACAAAGACCAUCCACCGCACCCCCUGAGGCUCCCUGAUAUUGUCAUCAAUGAUGCUGAUGGGUUUGCCUUGAUCUUCACUUUGCUGCCUCUUGAGAACAACAGUGUUCGUUUAUGAGAGCAUUGCCUAGAUGAGAAAAGUCCGGCAGGGACUCGUUAAGUGCUGGACCUCUCUUCUGUGAGGCAUUUUUAUAUAAGGUAAUAGAUACAUGUGAUAAACUCAGAGUAUGCAAAAGUUUCAGUGGAAAGGAGAUGGCAACCUACUCCAGUGUUCUUGUCUUGAGAAUCCCAGGGACGGGGGAGCCUGGUGGGCUGCCGUCUAUGGGGUCACACAGAGUCGGACACGACUGAAGCGACUUAGCAGAAGCAGCAGCAGAGGCACGUGGAAACUUAGUUCCCUGACCAGGAAUCGAACUCAUGCCCCUUGAAUUGGAAGGUGAAGUCUUAACCACUGGACCUCCGGGGAAGUUCUCUGAGAUUGUCUCUUGAGAAAUAAGCAUUGUUUUCAAGAUGUGCAGUCAUGUCUGUAUGUGUAUAUGUGCAUAUGUGUAUGUGUGUGUAUCUCAAUUUUGAACACAUUGUGUAUGUUGUUCUGCA